UACGAAGGGGGCUAGCGUUGCUCGGAAUUACUGGGCGUAAAGGGCGCGUAGGCGGUUCUAUAAGUCAGGCGUGAAAUUCCUGGGCUUAACCUGGGGGCUGCGCUUGAGACUGUGGGACUUGAGGUCAGAAGAGGGUCGUGGAAUUCCCAGUGUAGAGGUGAAAUUCGUAGAUAUUGGGAAGAACACCGGUGGCGAAGGCGGCGACCUGGUCUGAUACUGACGCUGAGGCACGAAAGCGUGGGAAGCAAACAGG
rnacentral:rRNA from 1 species